rnacentral:lncRNA from 1 species
GUCAAAAAGGUUUUGGUAUCCAUUUGCUCCAUCUUGUACUACGGUUCCAGGAGAAGUAAAUGUUGCAUAGGCUAGUGAUAUCUGUGUCGGAUUUCCUAUUUGCUUACGAGUAUAGAGAUAUACCUGAAAUAUGGAUAUACAUUAACCAACAAUGGUGCAUUGAUGGCAACUAGGAACCCGAUGAUCGGGUCUAUGUACGCACGGGCAUCAUCCCUGAAUGCACCUUGUGACGGAGGAUAACUAACUCCAAUCAUAGAUGUGUCGAUCGAAGUUGAAACUUUGAUUUGAUCCUUGAGGCCAUAAAACGAGACAACUUCCCGGAUGUUGGUCAAAGCUGGAUGAACCAAUGGAGCCAAUGUGCCAUCAGAUGGCUUAACCUCGUUACCAACUGCUAUGUAACGAAAUUUGACAUCCGGAUAACUCAUGAUG